ACUCCUACGGGAGGCAGCAGUAGGGAAUCUUCCACAAUGGACGAAAGUCUGAUGGAGCAACGCCGCGUGAACGAUGAAGGCUUUCGGGUCGUAAAGUUCUGUUGUAAGGGAAGAACAAGUGCCGCAGGCAAUGGCGGCACCUUGACGGUACCUUGCGAGAAAGCCACGGCUAACUACGUGCCAGCAGCCGCGGUAAUACGUAGGUGGCAAGCGUUGUCCGGAAUUAUUGGGCGUAAAGCGCGCGCAGGCGGCCUCUUAAGUCUGAUGUGAAAGCCCCCGGGCUCAACCGGGGGAGGGCCAUUGGAAACUGGGAGGCUUGAGUAUAGGAGAGAAGAGUGGAAUUCCACGUGUAGCGGUGAAAUGCGUAGAGAUGUGGAGGAACACCAGUGGCGAAGGCGACUCUUUGGCCUAUAACUGACGCUGAGGCGCGAAAGCGUGGGGAGCAAACAGGAUUAGAUACCCUGGUAGGAUAGCG
rnacentral:rRNA from 1 species